rnacentral:rRNA from 1 species
AGUGAACGCUGGCGGUAGGCCUAACACAUGCAAGUCGAACGGCAGCACAGUAAGAGCUUGCUCUUACGGGUGGCGAGUGGCGGACGGGUGAGGAAUACAUCGGAAUCUACUUUUUCGUGGGGGAUAACGUAGGGAAACUUACGCUAAUACCGCAUACGACCUACGGGUGAAAGCAGGGGAUCUUCGGACCUUGCGCGAUUGAAUGAGCCGAUGUCGGAUUAGCUAGUUGGCGGGGUAAAGGCCCACCAAGGCGACGAUCCGUAGCUGGUCUGAGAGGAUGAUCAGCCACACUGGAACUGAGACACGGUCCAGAUUCCUACGGGAGGCAGCAGUGGGGAAUAUUGGACAAUGGGCGCAAGCCUGAUCCAGCCAUACUGCGUGGGUGAAGAAGGCCUUCGGGUUGUAAAGCCCUUUUGUUGGGAAAGAAAAGCAGCAGGUUAAUACCCCGCUGUUCUGACGGUACCCAAAGAAUAAGCACCGGCUAACUUCGUG